GCUCAAUACUUCUCUACCGAGCCACCCAGUCCAGCACUACUGAAUGCCUGCGAGAGGUAAUGUAUCAUACAACAAAAUCCUUUGGAACGCCAGAAUGUGGACUUCACUUGAAGACCUAUGGAGAAAAUGGCUUAAGGCAAUGAAGCAAAUGUGCCUCCAUAGGCACAUAGGUGCAAAACAGGUGGUAAAGAAAUCAGUCAUGGACUCUUGCUAUGAAUUACAGCAUCAUUCAGAAUUUAUCAAAACUUCACAUGGAUAUCAUAUGUACUCUUCCAUGGCAAUCAGUUAUAGUAAGAGUAUAGAGUUACUCAUUUCCUGGCUGCACUGAUAACAUGCAGAUAUUCUCAUGACAUAGGAUUUGCUACUGGACACAAGGCUUUGAAAAGACUUUAAAUGCAAUUCUAAAUGCAUUACGUGUGGACACCAUUCUGCAUAUUUAAACUUACUUGGUUAAUUAAUUAAAUAGUUAAUAAAGGCUAGAGUUCAGUUUUCA
rnacentral:lncRNA from 1 species